GAGCACCCCAGGCAGGGCUUGCCCAGGCCCGGGUCCGGGUCCAGAUCCAGGUCCAGGCAAAGCAGGAACAGUCGGUAAGAUCAUGUUAAUGAAGGGCAUAGCUGCCUGGGGUCCCCCAGCCCUACUGGGCAGAGGCAGUGUAGCCACUUUCAGAGGGCCCGAAGAAAGCUUGGGGGCCAGGAUGGGUGGAGAGACUCGAAUUGGCGAGAUAAGUGAGCGAGGGGCCCGAGGAAGGAGCAGAGGCAGCCGGGCCACCAGGGCAUUAACCUGUGGGUUAUUGGCUGCUGGGGCUGGGCUCUCCACUACACUCUUCUUCCGCUCACUGCGUGCAGCGGGGCCAGCCCCAGCCCGGGGUUCCAUCUCCUUAAGAGGCUAAAAGGUAAAAAGAGGACAUAAUAAGUGGGAAGACUGGACAUCGGAGCAAAUACAGACGCGGGAGGGUGAGAAAAUAUGGGAAAAGGGAUACUAAGCCCCCAGCCCAGGGCAGCAAGGUCUGGGCAACAACUUCCUUACCUGGGCUGGUCUCUCUGGUUUCUUCUGGGCUCCACCUUCUAGGCUCUCUACACCAUUCUUGGAUUUAGAUGACCGCUCCCGAGGGGCAUGUUCGUCGUCUUCUGCAGAGGUGCCAGAAAAUGCAGUAAGGCAAAGUAGGUGGGAGGGCCUAUGACAUGGAGAGUGGCUGACAGCUGCUUGGGAACAAGAGAGGGUCCACCCACCAGCAAGCCCCAUCGCCUUGAGCACAUGGGCAUGUGCAGAUCGGGCAGAGAUGAGAUGCUGCUGCAGCAGGAAGCGGGCGACCUCAACGAUGGAACUGAAGGACCGUUUCAGGAUUCGUUCUGCCCAGUCACAGGUCAGAGCACAGGCAGCCUCCACCAGCUCAUCCCGAGGUGCUGGGGUUACUUCUGGGCCCAUUUCUGGCUGCGGUGGGGAAGGACAUGCCCAAUCACACUCCAAACUAAAGGACCCUUGACCCCUUUCAGACACGAAUGUCAACUGUGGCAAGACCAGACUGGAGAUGGGAGUAACUCAUCCCAGAAACCCACAAAUUCUCUUCAUCCUCUGCUUAAGCCACAGGGAAGGUAGAAGGGCAUAUCCUAUAUACCUAGAAGCUACGUGCAGAAAUGACCUUGGCUGUGUCAGCCCUCAACCUUGGAGAAAAGAAUGCAAUUGGAGGGUUGGUUGUAACUUACACUGUCAGAACCCUUCAGGUCAAGUCCAGGCAAGGGUGGCAUAGAUACCAAGGUCUUCCUUCGUAUCCCACUGUAGCAAUAUCUGAGGCAAGUUAAAGAGCAGCCAACAGUGGGGAUCUCCAAGCCCCAUGGGAAGAUUAGGCUGUUUCCACUCCUGGCCCUCCACACCCUAAGUUUUCCUCCCCGGGCCCUCCCACCACAACCUCUCCACUCAAGGAUACUUGGACUGGCCCCGGCCACCAAGCCUUCGGGCCUUGAUAUCAGGGAAGAUCUCUCUGAUGAUUUUGCCAAAGUUGGCUGUGCUGAGUGGGCGGCAACAGGCGAGGCUCUCACAGUACUUCCUGAGUGAGUGGGGGAGGGCAGAGUGGGAAGACACUCAGAGAAGGAGGUCAUGGUUAGAUUCGGAGGGUCCCUAGCAUUAGGUUUGGGAAACCCUUUAAGCAGUCAGGCUCUAUCAAUGCAGGGAGCUCUCCAGGGGCGAGGGCGUAGUCCUAUGGCCACCAACCCACCCACGCCCCAAUUCACCCACCGAUAGGCAUCAUAAACACUUUGCUUUGGCAAACAGGUGUCAGUAUGCUCUUCUAGGUGGUUGCGGAUCCAUCUAUAGGCAUACAUGUACUCCUCAUUGCUGAGUGUACUUGGCUCUGAGCUGCAAUAGAAGUAAAAGGGACAAGCCUUAC